AACGAACGCUGGCGGCAUGCCUAACACAUGCAAGUCGAACGAGACCUUCGGGUCUAGUGGCGCACGGGUGCGUAACGCGUGGGAACCUGCCCUUAGGUUCGGAAUAACUCCCCGAAAGGGGUGCUAAUACCGGAUAAUGUCUUCGGACCAAAGAUUUAUCGCCUUUGGAUGGGCCCGCGUUGGAUUAGCUAGUUGGUAGGGUAAAAGCCUACCAAGGCGACGAUCCAUAGCUGGUCUGAGAGGAUGAUCAGCCACACUGGGACUGAGACACGGCCCAGACUCCUACGGGAAGGAGCAGUGGGGAAUAUAGGAAAAUGGGCGAAAGCCUGAUCCAGCAAGGCCGCGAGAGUGAUGAAGGCGUUAGGGUUGUAAAGCUCUUUUACCCGGGAUGAUAAUGACAGUACCGGGAGAAUAAGCGCCGGCUAACUCCGUG
rnacentral:rRNA from 1 species